rnacentral:rRNA from 1 species
AUAUUAGUAAGCGGAGGAAAAGAAACUAACAAGGAUUCCCUUAGUAGCUGCGAGCGAACAGGGAAGAGCCCAGCACUGAAUCCCGUAGGCCUCGCCUGCUGGGAGAUGUGGUGUUUGGGAGGGUUCGUUACACCCGACAUUGUUUGCACAGCGUCCAAGUCCAUCUUGAACGAGGCCACGGUCCCGAGAGGGUGCCAGGCCCGUAGUUGGCCUGUGCCGGUGUCUGGGUGAACCUCUCCUUAGAGUCGGGUUGCUUGAGAGUGCAGCCCAAAGCGGGUGGUAAACUCCAUCUAAGGCUAAAUACAACCACGAGACCGAUAGCGAACAAGUACCGUGAGGGAAAGUUGAAAAGGACUUUGAAGAGAGAGUUCAAGAGUACGUGAAACCGCUCAGGGGUAAACGGAAAAGACCCGAAAUUCCGAAAAGGGAGAUUCACGUUUGCUCGCACGUGCUCGGCGCUUGUUUUGUCUGGACGGCCAUUUGUGCCCCCGUUUUCGCGCAAGUGGGAACGGUCGGGUCUGGUUGCCGGCAAGCGAGUGGAACCCGAGCCGCGGCGGACCGCACUUCUCCCUUAGUAGGACGUCGCGACCCGCUCGUCCGUGGUCUACGGCCGAGCAAGACGCCUGGUGCUCGUGGUUGGUCCUUCGCGGGGCCAGUCGCGGGUUGCCAGACUGCUCGUGCUUCCCGGCCACGGUUCAACGGACGGUAUCGAAUGUCGGUGUCGAGUCGCUUCUCAGCGUGAGGGAAAUAAAACACUCUCUCGUACGGAAGCGUCCUAGGCGGAUGGCAAGGUUCUAUGAGUUUCUAAAAACGCAAGUUUUGAAGUCGUGACGUUUAUUUCUGUUCGUCUGACGGAGCUCGGGCCUGUUGGCUGUCUGUCUUUGGACUGACUCGUUCCCAUUGCGCGGAGAGAGGCACCAGUCAGCGGCGAUCUAGUUUUGGGCUCUUUUCCGACCCGUCUUGAAACACGGACCAAGGAGUUUAGCGUGCUCGCGAGUCAUUGGGUGUUACAAAACCUAAAGGCGAAAUGAAAGUGAAGAGAGUUUUUUAACUUUCGAGGGAGGAUGAGCUACUGCUCCGGGCCGUUCUAACCGGCGGCUGAGCGUGUCUCCGCACUCCCGGGGCGAUUCUUUCUCAUUGCGAGUAGAAGCGCACUAAGAGCGAGUACGCUGAAACCCGAAAGAUGGUGAACUAUGCCUGGCCAGGACGAAGCCAGGGGAAACCCUGGUGGAGGUCCGCAGCGAUUCUGACGUGCAAAUCGAUCGUCGGAGCUGGGUAUAGGGGCGAAAGACCAAUCGAACCAUCUAGUAGCUGGUUCCCUCUGAAGUUUCCCUCAGGAUAGCUUGCGCUCGGGUGUGAAGAGUCUCAUCCGGUAGAGCGAAUGAUUAGAGGCCUUGGGGUCGAAACGACCUCAACCUAUUCUCAAACUCCAAAUAGAUGAGAACCCCGGCUUGCUUGAAAUUUUAAUUCUUAUUUGAAGCCGCGGGACUCGGAUCAGAGUGCCAAGUGGGCCAAUUUUGGUAAGCAGAACUGGCGCUGUGGGAUGAACCAAACGCAGAGUUAAGGCGCCCGAAUCGACGCUCAUGCGAAACCAUGAAAGGCGUUGGUUGCUUAAGACAGUAGGUCGGUGGCCCUGGAAGUCGGAAUCCGCUAAGGAGUGUGUAACAACUCACCUGCCGAAGCAACUAGCCCUGAAAAAGGAUGGCGCUGUAGCGUCGUGCCUAUACUCUGCCGUCAACGGCAAAGCGGGCAGUCCCAGUGUGGGAAGGCGCCGUUAAGCCUUGACGAGUAAGAGGGUCGCGGUGACGUGCACAGAAGGGUCUGGGCGUGAGCCCGCCUGGAGCCGUCACCGGUGCAGAUCUUGGUGGUAGUAGCAAAUACUCCAGCGAGGCCCUGGAGGACUGAUGUGGAGAAGGGUUUCUUGUGAACAGCUGUUGCACAAGAGUCAGUCGAUCCUAAGCCCUAGGAGAAAUCCGAAGCGAUUGGUUGCCGUUAUCAUAUGUUAUUGUUGUGUUAUACAUACACGUAAAUUUGUUGUCGAUGGCGCACCGUCUGGGCGANNNNNNNGGAACCGUUUUAUUCGGGCCCUCCUGAGGACUCGUCGGGGCAACCCAAAAAGACCCGGAGACGCCGCCGAGAGGUUCGGGGAGAGUUGUCUCUUCUCUGUAAGCGUUCAAGUUCCCUGGAAUCCUUUAGCAGGGAGAUAGGGUUUGGAACGCGAAGAGCACCGCAGUUACGGCGGUGUCCGAAUCUUCUCCACGGACCUUGAAAAUCCGGGAGAGGGCCACGAGGAACACCGCGCCAGCUCGUACCCAUAUCCGCAGCAGGUCUCCAAGGUGAAUAGCCUCUAGUCGGUAGAACAAUGUAGGUAAGGGAAGUCGGCAAAUCCGAUCCGUAACUUCGGGAUAAGGAUUGGCUCUGAGGAUCGUGGCGAGCCGGGCUUGGUCGGGAAGUGGAGAAGUGCCAACGUGCCGGGCCUGGGCGAAGAGAACGGACGCAC